AUGUUCCAAACCAAAAGUAAAACAGAACCACACCUCUCCGGACCAAGCAGAGUAGUUUUUUUUCUUUUGAAAAACUUGAGUAGAGUAGAAAUUGAAAAGAAGCUUGUUCAACAUCGUCUGAGAUGGUUUGAGCAUAUUCAGCGCAGGCAUCCAAAACCUCCAACGCAUAACAGAUGGCUAAAGCGUGCGAAGAAUGUUAAGAGAGGUCGGGGUAGACCGAAUUUGACAUGGGAGGAGUCCGUGAAGAGAGAUCUGAAGGAUUGGACUAUCAUAAAAGAACUAGCUAUGGACAGGAAUGCGUUGAAACUUGUUAUCCAUGUGACCGAACCAUGA
rnacentral:rRNA from 1 species